rfam:Drosophila grimshawi strain TSC#15287-2541.00 scaffold_15252 genomic scaffold, whole genome shotgun sequence.
ACCAAAAUGAUGAUAUCUUAGAUAGGGACUUCUGAAAUCCAUGAUCGAUUUAUCACUUUACUGAUUAU